rnacentral:rRNA from 1 species
GAAUAUUGGACAAUGGGCGAAAGCCUGAUCCAGCAAUGCCGCGAGAGUGAUGAAGGCCUUAGGGUUGUAAAGCUCUUUUACCCGGGAUGAUAAUGACAGUACCGGGAGCAUAAGCUCCGGCUAACCCCGUGCCAGCAGCCGCGGUAAUACGGAGGGAGCUAGCGUUGUUCGGAAUUACUGGGCGUAAAGCGCGCGUAGGCGGCUUUGUAAGUUAGAGGUGAAAGCCCGGGGCUCAACUCCGGAACUGCCUUUAAGACUGCAUCGCUAGAAUCCAGGAGAGGUGAGUGGAAUUCCGAGUGUAGAGGUGAAAUUCGUAGAUAUUCGGAAGAACACCAGUGGCGAAGGCGACUCACUGGACAAGAACUGACGCUGAGGUGCGAAAGCGUGGGGAGCAAACAGG